UUGAUAGAAACCAAAAAAGAGGUAUAUUACUGUUAAUGAUAUCAUUGAGACUUUCUCCUAUCAAG
rnacentral:tRNA from 1 species